rfam:Triticum urartu cultivar G1812 contig589452, whole genome shotgun sequence.
CAUAUACUGCCUCCGUUCCAAAUUACUUGUCGCAGGUAUGGAUGUAUUUAGAUGUAUUUUAGUUCUAGAUACAUCCAUUUCUGUGACGAGUAAUUUGAAACGGAGGGAGUAGGUG